AUUGAACGCUGGCGGCAGGCCUAACACAUGCCAGUCGAGCGGAUGAAGGGAGCUUGCUCCUGGAUUCAGCGGCGGACGGGUGAGUAAUGCCUAGGAAUCUGCCUGGUAGUGGGGGAUAACGUCCGGAAACGGGCGCUAAUACCGCAUACGUCCUGAGGGAGAAAGUGGGGGAUCUUCGGACCUCACGCUAUCAGAUGAGCCUAGGUCGGAUUAGCUAGUUGGUGGGGUAAAGGCCUACCAAGGCGACGAUCCGUAACUGGUCUGAGAGGAUGAUCAGUCACACUGGAACUGAGACACGGUCCAGACUCCAACGGGAGGCAGCAGUGGGGAAUAUUGGACAAUGGGCGAAAGCCUGAUCCAGCCAUGCCGCGUGUGUGAAGAAGGUCUUCGGAUUGUAAAGCACUUUAAGUUGGGAGGAAGGGCGGUAAGUUAAUACCUUGCUGUUUUGACGUCACCAACAGAAUAAGCACCGGCUAACUUCGUG
rnacentral:rRNA from 1 species